UGGGGAAUAUUGCACAAUGGGGGAAACCCUGAUGCAGCGACGCCGCGUGAGCGAAGAAGGCUUUCGAGUCGUAAAGCUCUGUCCUAUGAGAAGAUAAUGACGGUAUCAUAGGAGGAAGCCCUGGCUAAAUACGUGCCAGCAGCCGCGGUAAUACGUAUGGGGCGAGCGUUGUCCGGAAUCAUUGGGCGUAAAGGGUACGUAGGCGGCCCAGUAAGUUAGAAGUGAAAUAAUAUAGCUCAACUAUAUAAAGCUUUUAAAACUGCUAGGCUUGAGAGAUGGAAGGGAAAGUGGAAUUCCUAGUGUAGCGGUGAAAUGCGCAGAUAUUAGGAAGAAUACCGGUGGCGAAGGCGACUUUCUGGUCAUCAUCUGACGCUGAGGUACGAAAGCGUGGGUAGCAAACAGG
rnacentral:rRNA from 1 species